rnacentral:rRNA from 1 species
UGGGGAAUUUUGGACAAUGGGCGAAAGCCUGAUCCAGCAAUGCCGCGUGUGUGAAGAAGGCCUUCGGGUUGUAAAGCACUUUUGUCCGGAAAGAAAUCCUUGGCUCUAAUACAGUCGGGGGAUGACGGUACCGGAAGAAUAAGCACCGGCUAACUACGUGCCAGCAGCCGCGGUAAUACGUAGGGUGCAAGCGUUAAUCGGAAUUACUGGGCGUAAAGCGUGCGCAGGCGGUUUGCUAAGACCGAUGUGAAAUCCCCGGGCUCAACCUGGGAACUGCAUUGGUGACUGGCAGGCUAGAGUAUGGCAGAGGGGGGUAGAAUUCCACGUGUAGCAGUGAAAUGCGUAGAGAUGUGGAGGAAUACCGAUGGCGAAGGCAGCCCCCUGGGCCAAAUACUGACGCUCAUGCACGAAAGCGUGGGGAGCAAACAGGAUUAGAUACCCUGGUAGUCCACGCCCUAAACGAUGUCAACUAGUUGUUGGGGAUUCAUUUCCUUAGUAACGUAGCUAACGCGUGAAGUUGACCGCCUGGGGAGUACGGUCGCAAGAUUAAAACUCAAAUGAAUUGAC